GACGUAGGGGGCGAGCGUUGUCCGGAUUUAUUGGGCGUAAAGGGUUCCUAGGCGGCUGACAAAGUCGGGUGUGAAACCUCCAGGCUCAACCUGGAGACGCCACCCGAUACUGGUCUGGCUAGAGUCCGGUAGGGGCGAACGGAAUCUCCGGUGUAGCGGUGAAAUGCUUAGAUAUCGGAGGGAACACCAGUGGCGAAGGCGGUUCGCUGGGCCGGAACUGACGCUGAGGUGGCGAAAGCGUGGGAGCAAACAGG
rnacentral:rRNA from 1 species